GAAAUGCGAUAACUAGUGUGAAUUGCAGAAUUCCGUGAAUCAUCGAGUCUUUGAACGCACAUUGCGCCCCCUGGUAUUCCGGGGGGCAUGCCUGUCCGAGCGUCAUUGCUGCCCAUCAAGCACGGCUUGUGUGUUGGGUCGUCGUCCCCUCUCCGGGGGGGACGGGCCCCAAAGGCAGCGGCGGCACCGCGUCUGAUCCUCGAGCGUAUGGGGCUUUGUCACCCGCUCUGUAGGCCCGGCCGGCGCUUGCCGAACGCAAAUCAAUCUUUUUCCAGGUUGACCUCGGAUCAGGUAGGGAUACCCGCUGAACUUAAGC
rnacentral:misc_RNA from 1 species